CCGCCGCCUCGCGUAGUUCACCUUCCAUGGUGUGGCCGGGCGUCAACCUCUUCCCCAUCCCUGCUUCUCGGCGUUGGCGACUACGGCCGCCGCUGCGCUGCCCGAGUAGCCGCCUCUGUGCUACGCGGGUGGCCGCCCCAUCCUCCAGCCCUGCAAAUCCCCGUUGCCGAUCUCCACCGGUGUGACCUUGCGCCUCCUCCAGCCCUUUCUCACGCACGCCCUCCCCAUCCCCAAUCGACCUCCGCCGUCUCCUCCCCCACGGCCAUCAUUCAGCGCACGAGAAGCGGCGCCCGAGCUCCAUACCCUCCACCACUGACUCUCUUCGUUGCACGGCGGCAGACCGGGGGCCUUCAUGCCGCUCCCUCCCACCGGCGCUUAAUAGAGCACUGUCAUGUUUAUUGGUUGAGAAAGAAGAUGCGUGUGAAGGCGUUAUUGGCCAUGUCCACUUGGGCAGCAGUAUGAGGAGUGAGGUUGUUUGAUGAAAAGGAGAGUGGGGCGCAGGAGAAGUUUGAUCUAUUACCUUAUAUGAUGUCUAGCAUAUGGGAUUUUGUAAUCUUGUUCUGCUUGUGAUUGUUGCAGGUUCUUUUCCCAGACAUAAACGCCUAUGAGGUCGGCCUGGGCACAGAAGAGAAGCACUCUUCUGCCGAGAGUCACAUCUUUUGCCCGCUGUCAUCUGAGCCUACUUCUAAAUUUCCGUAUCAUGUGCAUAUGCUCCAAAUACCUUGUCUCAAUUGUGCAAGAUAUUCCUAGCUCCAGAUUCGUUAUCCGUCUUUUGAUAAUCGCAGGGCAGCGAGUUGAUGAGUUUUGGUAGAGGGUGUUUCUUUUCUUGCCAUAAUCAGGGAGCACAUUGAAUUAAAUUUAUUCAACCUGGUGCAUCUUUUUUAUGUAGUAUAAUGGCACACUGGAAUUGGAAGUGUGACUAAAUUAAUUGGAAAGAUAUGUUGGAAGUGAAUGGUUGGUUUGUCUAACUAGGGAGUGAGAUCAGGAAGUUCGGACUGGGAGGAAGAGAUACGGUAGCAUCUGUUUGAGCAUGUCUUUCAGUUACAUGUUGUUUUGGCUGUAAUCUUGGCAGUAAUUUAUAUAAAAAUUCUUUCGCAUGCAAAAUAGAUGGGCACGGAACAGUUUGUUACCUUCAUGUGGGUGUAAGUGGUCCAUAUGGAUCUUGAAUACAUCAUACCAUGCACAGAUUAUAGUUGUGCACUUUCUGGCUAUUUGAGUACUAUUAGAUCACUCAGCACAGUUGCUGAAAAUCUGUAGUGUGAUAUUAAUUUAUGCUUGGAACAUUGCUAUUUCAGUGGUUCUUUUGUAAGCACAUAGAUGCACUCUUACCUAUUACAUCAGUGAACAAAAUAUGUGACAAGGAUGAGUCUCCGGAAACAAGCGAUGUCCAUCUAUUGUAAUGGCCAGCCAAGAGACACAUGUAAGCUAACAGUUGUCGUCGUUCUAUUCCCUAGAGUUCAAGCUAAACACCGAACUCGCUGCCAUCGUUGGGAAGCACAACAGAGGUUGCAGGCUGUUGCAGUGAUACAUUCCAACUACCAGACUUUGUCACCAAAAAGGGAACUCAAAUCUUUCAACACUACCUUUCUGGUGCUGCAGAAAUGACUGUUUAUUCAAAGGAACCUAUCCUCGAGGAGUUGAUGCAAAGAAGAGUAUAUGAUGACCUGCAGGCCUGGAUAGCAAGAUAUAGGUUAUUUAAACAGAAGAUGGAGACAUCCCCAAGGUCCCAACAGUACAGCCAGGGCAUGUGAGUUUAGUUUGGGUAAACUAACACACUGGGAUCUUCAUUGUUGAGGAUGUAUUUUGCCAUCCUAUGAUGUGCUUUUGUUGUUCUGCAUCCGCAUCUAUGCCCUAUACAUAUUUGCUUGAUUAUUUGUUGAAAUAAAAUUAUGCUACAUUCUUAUUAGUGAGGAUGAAGAAAACACUUCAUUUGUAGCCUGUGACAAAAGUAACCCUGAAGAAGAAAACUGCAAUGUUCUUUUAUUGUGCAAAUUGGUUUGCACGAUAGUGAUUUGUCACCAAUAGGAUGGACACUAAUUUAGAGUUUAGGCGCUCAUGUAUGCACUACUUGCUAACCUUGCUAAGCAGCAUCAAAAAUAAUUUUUUGGUAGCAAUCCAAACAUGCACAGCUAAGUAUUCAGUUCUUAAUUUACCAUAUAGUUUCUGUUAGUUUGAUCAUCCUAAAUGUAAUGUUCUGUGUAUGGCAUAACUAAGUGGUUCUCUAUUUCAGAAAAAUAAGUUUCAAAGGCCACCAUUGUUGCUUUUGUUGAAUUUUUAUGUCGAGUUUUCUCCUGUGUAAGAUAUUACAUAUUCAUAUAUCCUUCAAACAUUUGCCAAUGCUGUUCUAAAGUAUAUAACCCAUAGGUCAUGUUUUGUAUGAUGUUUCUAUUAUUCAUUUCAGCAACACUUGGGUCGCUGCUUAUGCUGAAGUAUGUUUCCGCUAUCGUUGGGUCGCCGCUGCUGCUGGAGUACAGGUUGCCAGCCUUUAUCUUGGCAUAAGGAUUAAGCCAUGGUUGUCGUUGAGAUUCCAUCCAGACUCCUGAUCAUGGCAGCUUCCAGAUCCGUUGUAUAACACUACACCCACGAAGUGUGAAGUGAGGGUGACCUUCCUCUAUUGGUAAAUGUUAUGUCAUAUACAUCAAUCUAUUGGAGAAGUCUGGCUAUCUGAUGAGCAAACAAUGUAUAGGCUAUUGACUACUGUAUACAGUCAACAACCUGUAGUAAGACAUGUUGUACUGAUGACCAUUUACAUAGUGUUUCACCCAUCGGAUAGUUUUUGUUAUUUAAUGUUUGAUUACCGGGUCUGUGAGCCUCAGAAUAUUCCUCUAUUUUUAUGAUUAUAAAUAAGCGUGUGCUACUCUAUUUAUGAUUUCAUGGGCUUUAUCCUAA